rnacentral:rRNA from 1 species
UGCCAGCCGCCGCGGUAAUACAUAGGGGUCAAGCGUUGUCCGGAUUUAUUGGGCGUAAAGAGCUCGUAGGCGGAUUGGAAAGUUAGAGGUGAAAUCCCAGGGCUCAACCCUGGAACUGCCUUUAAAACUGUUAGUCUUGAGAUCGAGAGAGGUGAGUGGAAUUCCAAGUGUAGAGGUGAAAUUCGUAGAUAUUUGGAGGAACACCAGUGGCGAAGGCGGCUCACUGGCUCGAUACUGACGCUGAGGUACGAAAGUGUGGGGAGCAAACAGGAUUAGAUA